rnacentral:lncRNA from 10 species
UUUUUCCAUGAAUUUAUGUUUGAGAUCUGAAAAAAAAUUAAUACAAAAUAGAAAAAAAAACUUUUAAAAUGAAUGUAUUUAAUUAAAUUUCCAUAAAGUGCUCCAUUCAUGUCUUAUUACCUAUGAAAUUUAAUAUUCAUAAAAAUUAAUUACAUUAAAAAUGUAAGGUGUAUUUUCACAUCAGAAAAAUUUCUGAGAUGCACAAUAAUUACCAAGAAAUUAUAAUCAAUCUUAAAAUAAGUUAUACAUAACCAAAUAAUUUUGGAUAUAAAAGGAUUAAAAUCCUUUCAAAUUAUUUUUACAGUAAAAAAUCUAUAUAUAAUUAAUACAGAAUAUUGGUGCAUUUUGAUGUGAUACGAUGUGGGAUAGGGCCUGUGAAAGUGUGAGUGCCCAGGCCCUCGGAGGUCUUCAACAGCCUGAUAACAGUGGGCCAGAAUUUAAACAGGCUGGCUCAAGCAUAGUGAGACUAAUCAAGAAAAGCUUCUUAGUGGAGGUUUCCCUGAUCUUCACUAUAAAGGUGGAGAGAGAGAGAUGGUUUGGAGAAGCGGAGUUAGGCUUCACCAGAACUAAUCUCGUAAGUAAGCAAAGUAAGAGACUGAGAGUAUUUUCCAAGAUGCUAGACAAGACCCCUUGACUCAUUGCACCUUCAUCCCCUCACCCGAGAAACUUUUCCACUAUGCUUUUUGAGACCUAAAAUUCUACCCAAAAGAAUAAUUUUAUCUAAAACUUAUGUCAGCUAGUAUAUGUAGAUGUGGCUGAGAGAUACAACCCUUAAAACAAUAUAUUUGAUUUAGACAAUAGUGUGAGUUUAACAUUUUCUUUCUUGUGGUUAGAUUUGAUUUUUUAAAAAAGAAAUACAUUUAGUGCAGGUGGGCACUAAAUGACCAAAUAGGGGUACACUUGGAGAGGAGUGGUAAGCCAAAAUAUCAGAGACAAAAAAUGCCAGUGGUCUACUGUAGACUGCACUUGAGACAGCUCGCAUUCAUGGUCAAAACCCAAGAUUAUCACAAAUUGUACUGAACCAGCUUUUGGAGAAAUGUGAGUUGUGGGAACCACUGAGGGCUUGUGAGUUAUUGAGCAACCUGGUCAAAAAAUGAGAAUGGAGAAUAACCUGAGGCUGAAAAAGAAAUAGAGAAAUAUGUGUAACAAAUGGCAGCAGCCACCACAUUCUUACUGAGCCACUGCAAGAGGGAAAAAAACGGAUUCAUUCUAUACAGACGCUAAAGACAGGAUAGUUCACCUUAACAUUUCUAUUGCUAGUUGUUUUAUAUAUUUAACUUACAGAGUUUAAUCAUAUGUCCCAACUAAUAGAUGAACAAAAAUUGUCUCUAGGAGAAACAGCAAUGUUUAAUGGCCACUCUGAAAUAUCAUGCAUGUAUAACCUCUACGGUUAGCAGUAUCUAUGAUCUUUAUCCAACAUCUGGGAAAACAUCCUUUUAAGUCACCAUAUUUUUAAAAGAAACUUAAUUCAAGUUAGCAAAUAGAAUAUACACAAUAAUACCAGGAGACUGGCAGAUCAAAAGUGAUAGGAGUAUUUGUAAUUCUUAUCCAUCUCAGAAAGUCAGAGGUGGCAUGGAA